AGGCGGCAAACCUCUUGAAUACUAACCGUUAAUUCUAUUGUUUUUCUUUUACGUUGUAGGCAAUGGUCAGAAAAUAAGUGUGAAAUUCCAGAAAAGACCCUUUGACAAUUCCAGCAUAUCGUGUACGCACUCAUGGAAGACGGCAAGAUAGAAAGUGGCGUGCAUAGGGCUGGUAGAUGAGAUUUUAACUCUCUUCCUGAAUAAGGAGGCAGCAAUGGCGAAGGGGAUCCAUGCAAGGAGGACCCAUGUAUUUAUAUUGGACUACUACUAUUUUACACCGCAAUUUAAAAUAGCGUGUUAUUGUGGGCAAACUAGAAUCAGCAAUAAGCCAAGAAACAAAUGUUUUUAUUCUUCCGAGAGUUUAUUUAUUUAAUUUUUAUGAUUCAAUGUUAUGUUGAUAAGUUAAGGAUUAGUAGAUAAGGAAGAUUUAUGUAUCUAUACGUUCAAAACCAGAAACUUAAUUUGUUAAUACACUGUGUGAUCUAAAUUUGGGACAUACACUCUUUGACAAAAAUAAAUUUUAUGUUUUAGUUUUAUCUUUUUGGUAGUAAAUUAAUUAAAUUAUAGUAACUUGCAUUUAGAUCAUCAAUCAUCAACAACCCUCCGCAAUAUUGAAGAUAUUGGGUCACAAACACGAAAUUGAAAAUUGUCAAUAAUUUCAAAAGGCAAGUCAUUUAUGAACACCAUUAAUUAAAUAAUCUAAAUUUGUGAUAUUUUGCUUGUUAUCAUUACUUGUUGGACUCUAUUGUUGAGAUAAGAAGUGAACCAUUUUAAGGAAUUAUUUCUCACCCCAUAUAACUAAUUUCUUUAUUAAUAAAUUUCUAUCUAAACAAUCAUAUGCCUUAGAAAGAUCUAAAAAUAUUCCCAAUGAAAGCAUUUGCCUCUCCAAAUUCCUAAAGACUGCACAAGUGAACUGAGAUAUUGCAGUUUCUGUAGAUUUACUCUCAAGAUAUCCAUAUUGAUUAUCAGACAAAAUAUUGCACUCUUUUAAAAAACUGAGAAGCUGAUUGCAAACAAUUAACAGUUGAAAAACUUGGAAGUAGGCUGAUCAGUCUACAGUGCGUCCCAGAAUAAGCGAAUUUAUACGUAAAAGUGACAAAAAAUUUUAGUAUUAAAAUUUGACAGUUUUGCAUCCAGCCCUGCUUAAUUAGAAAAUAAAAUUUUGCAUAUUUUAUUUUUUUUUAAAUCAAGCAUGGUAAAGUAGUAUAUCUGGGGAAGAUAUAAAAAAAAGUUUAUAAGAAAAAGUUGUUUAGAAUGUAAAAUUAUGCCCGAAUACCGAAUUUCAAACCCAUAGGUCUACUUUGAUUUUUACGUUUAAAUUAUUAUUUAUUUAAUUAUUUAUUCUUACUUUUCAAUAUUAAUAUUUAAAAUAGUGAAAAUUAUUUUAAAAAUUAUUGCCCUUGGACUAUUCGCUACUUUCGACUAUUUAAUUUUUUUGGGGCUCGUGGAAUGCAUGUCGCUUAUUAUAUUGGGUUCUUUUUUGCUGCAUUUACGAGUUUUUGUGGAACUUUUUAAAAUGUAAACAUUCUCAAUUAAAUGUAGCAGCUACUCUAAAACAUUGUCACUGUCAAAGUUAUGUAACAAAAAACAGAAAAAGACGAUGACAACGGUGCUGCUAGAAUCCUGGCUUUGGAGUCAAUUACUGAGGUCGACGGUGCUGAACAUAAGUAAAUCUGAAUUACAAAGCAUUUAUAAUGCCAACAAUAUUAAAGCAUUUAAACCAAGGUACUUCCAAUGAAAAUUCCAAACUUUGUAAUCCAUGGCAAAAGGCAAUAUUUUCAAAAAGUCAACGCAUGGCGCGCCAUAUCUUACCAUUUAGAUAUUAUUGGACCAUAGUUUAUUGAAGGAUCUCUUAAUCAACGUAUCUUCAAAUUUUGGAAAGAUUUUUUGAAGAAUACUUAGAACCUUUACCAGUUGAUGAAAGAAUAAAUCUUUAUUUUCAACACGAUGGUUGUCCAGCGCACUCCACUAUUUGAGUAGCAAAAUGGUUGAAUAGAACUUUUCCAAAUCAAUGGAUUGGAAGACGCGGCCCAAUUGGGUGGCCGCCAAGGUCACCUGAUUAAACCAUUUUUGAUUCCUAUUUUAUGGGGCCGGCUCAGACAAAUUGUUUAUUCAGAGCCAUUAGCAAAUGACAGGGAAUUACUAAAACAAAGAAUUAGAGACCCUUGUAAUUAAAUUUCCAUUGAACAUUAAUAUAUGAAAUUCUUUUAAAAUGUUUAGGAAAAAUAUAAAGAAACAUAUUUCCAAAUAUUUAAAUUAUCUGUUUUAUUGCUUUUUUUAGUGCAGUUACAGCAAGUGGGUCUUUGACAAGCAGAUGUAUAUAUCGGGUGGUGCGUCGCCGAGCGGAACAUAGGAAAACCCAUGUAAAUUUUAAGGGGGUCAAUUAUUGGCUUCCCUGUACAUUUUAUACAUAAAAUGUAAGAUAACUUUUUGAAGAGACCAAUCUGGCAAAGCCUUGUGCAAAGUUUAAAAAAAUUUUAAUAAGCGAAUCUUAAUUAAUUGCUAAAUUUGCAAAUUUUUGGUUCAGGUAAAACCAGUAAAAUGAAUAUUGUCACUGACGUGAGGAAAAGUGACAAUAAAUUAGUGACAGUCGAUAUUUGAAAAUAAGUAUGAAUUAUUCAAUCGACGAAAAAAUAGCCAUAAUUAAGUUAAUAAAUAAUUACUUAAUAAAUAAUAGUCAUAAUUAAGUCUUACUUGAAUGUAUGGUUGUGAGAUUGAUAAAACAAAAAAAAUUACAUUUCUUGUAUUCGGCUGUAUGUCAGAUUUGACAAAGCUUUAUAACAAAUUGUUUGCUGGUGGCUGGUGUCUGGUUUCACCUGAACCGAAAAUUUGGUAAUUUUGCAAUUACAUUUAAUUGAAUAAUUCAAGAUUCGCUUAUUAAAAUUUUUUGAAACUUUGCACGAGGGUUUGCCAGAUUGGUCUCUUCAAAAAGUUAUCUUACAUUUUUUAAUUUUUUAAUUAAAGUAAAACAUUUUGAAAACAGUGCCUUAAAUCAUAAUUUUGCAAAAGUAACUUUUCGUUUCAAAUUAAAUGGAGAAUCUAACAGUUGACUUCUUGAAAACAUCUUGUCGGACUUGCAUUGUCUUAUUUAUUUAUUGUAACACGACGUUUCGGUUGGUAAGUAUCUCCAACCGUUAUCAAGUGUAAACUGAAAGCAAACUACUAUUCUAUAGGCUUAUAUACUAGAUGUGUGCAGCGAUAUGGAAGGGGAGGGAAGGGAGGGAAAGUCAUCCGUGAAAAAGCGUUGGAGGGGGGAAGGACACGCGUCUCUCUAGAUCCUACACUGUCCUGAGAGUAGAGGCUUCCAGAUGUUGGGUAUAUCGACGCUUGGCUGGCUGAAGAUCCUCUGAUUCCGUGAGAUGAAAGCUGCCUCUACGAACUUCCUCUUCCGCCAGUGCUGUUCCUUGUGCAGAAUCUUGGCUUCUGACCAAUGGAUAUUGUGUCCAUUAUGCCACGCGUGCUCUGCUAUCCCGGAUUUGGAAACCUCUCCUCUUUGGGUCCAGCUGCGAUGUUCCUUCGCUCUGAUUUCUAGGGGGCGCUUCGUUUCACCUAUGUAUGAGUCACCGCACUCACAUGGGAUCCGGUAGACGCAAUUUUUGGUAUCCACCAUGCCAUCUGGUUUGGUCUUUGAAACCACGCUUCUGAUAGUGGUGCUAGAUCUAAAGGCAGUUCUAAUAUUGUACUUGCUGGCAAUGCGUCGGAUUUGUUCCGAUGUACCCCUAAUGUAAGGUAUGGGUAGAAGUCUGGUUGUCGUGGUGGCCUCGUCUCUGAUUUGAUUUGGACGCGUCCUUCAAGUCCGACAAGAUGUUUUCACUGUACCAUUGUCUACCACCUUCAAAAACAGUUGACUUCUUAUAAACAAAUAUUUUAUCAGCUCGCAGAUUUGAGACAAAAAAGGACCAAGUCCCUCCGUGUGCUACGCCACUGGCAAUUUUUUUAAAAAUUGACUUCAUCAGUAAUUGACAAUUCACUACAAUAACCUGCAUGCGAAAUUUAGUUAAAAUUAAGCUGGUAGUUUAAAAGUUAUGAUAAAUAAACGAAAGAAUGUUUAUUUAAUAUCUUUGUUAUUAAACAUUUCUGAGAAAAAUUUUAUAAUGAAAGUCUAUUUCUUUUUCAAUUCUCUAUCGCAUAUUAAAAUUAAUAACGUUUGAACUGGACCACCCUGUAUAUAUAUACUCAGGGCAAAAAAACGUCUUUUUGAAUCAAGUUAAAGUUAAAUUACAUUCUAAAUUAUGGUUUUGACGUUUCAACUUAUUAUUAGUUUACAAACAAAUUUUGUUUGCAAAACCUACUUUAUACGCUACCUAAUUUACCUAAUAUAAGUUCAUUCAAAUAGUAGGGUCGUUUUGAGACACUAGAGCAAUAUUUUAAAAAUUGUAUUUAAUAAUUUCUUUUAAAAGAAUACAUAAAAUUUAAAUAUCGUUACGGUGCAUGAUGUGAUCAAUGGUUUCCGAUUAUUAUUUCAAAACUGCUCAAAAAACAAUUAAGAUUUACUAUGGUAAAGUCAACACUAUUUAUCAGAUAUACAGGGUGUUUUGGGAGGAAACGGAAAUAUUUUAGGAACAUUUAGGAACAUAGUUUUAAUCCGAUUCUGAACCAGUUUUUUUGUAAGAUUUUUUGUUUUAAAAGCAACACAAACAAAUACUAGUAAAAAACAAAAUUCCACUAAUUUAAAAUGUUUUCGCAAACACCGUCACUAAGUUCAAGGCAACCUGCAGUACGUUUGUUAAGCGCUCGUGUUGUACGUUUAAUUGAUUGGAGAUUGUUUUUAAUAAUAUUUGAAGCAUUUCAAAUUGCCUUGUGGAGUCCUACGAUUUCUACUGGUGUUUCAUACACUAGUGCUUUCAUCCACUCUCGAGGCAAUAAUCCAGUGGAUUUAAGUCUGGUGACCUCAGUGGCCAAACUUGAGGUCCUUCUCUGUCAAUCCAACGAUCAGGAAAACGAUUAUCUAAGAAAUUACGAACUCGGCGACUAAAAUGAGGCGAGGCUCCAUCGUGUUGAAAAUACAUUCGGUGUCGAACAAUUGGCGCAACAUGAUCCAACAUGUGUAUUAAAUGGUCUUCCAAAAAGCGUAAAUAUCCUCCAGUAUUAGACGCUCAUCUAAUACUGUUUAUUGUGUCGGUUAUUAACUCCGUUGCGGGUAAAAUGAGCUUCAUCGCUAAAUAAAAAGUAUUUAUGUAGGCCUUAAUUUUGUUGGAUCCAUUCGCAAAAUUGAACCCUUAAGCCAUAAUCACCCUCUUAAAGAUGUUGAACCGUUUGAAUAUGGAAAGGCCAAAGAGUCUUCCAAGUCAAGGAGACGUCGAAGGUCAAAACAAAUGACGAACAAAAAAAAAACAAGAAUUAAACCCCUUUUUCCUAUCCUAAUACAUUGCUUCUUAUGGAACCUGAUCUUUCUCUUUAGAUUGUGGCACUCGUAUGAAUCGUGGAAAAAUUUGUCAUUAAGCUUUUUUACUACUUUUUAAGUCGUCUUUAAGCAGAAAAAAGAAAUUUUGAAUUCGGAGCUUAUUUUGAAAAAAUGCUCAUUUUGACCCUGAUUUUGUUCGAAAAUCGAAAAAUGCAAAGAAAUAGGUUUUCCGUUCUUUUUAGAGUCAAAUCGGUAAUAAUCUUUUUUAAAGGUACUCUGAAGUAGUACAGGAUAGAAAAUAAAAAAUUAAAAUGUUUCCAUAGGGCUCAUGAUAAUUCGAUAUUCUGUGGCGUUAACUUUACAGUGCUACUAUUUUGCCAAGAGUCUGCAGACAGUAGCUCAGAAUUAUUGGAGGCUUGGGAUUGUUGGAAGGUUCACUUAUGACUGGCUAUUAAAGAAUCUAAACUUGAUUAUAACUAAUAAAUAAGAGGGCGCCACUUAGUCUUUUUUUUUAUAAAUGAGAGAAAACUAAGAAAAAGACUUGGUAUAUAGGUUUCAAUAACAAUUAAAUGACCCUGGAUAAAGUAGAUUUAAAGAGGCAAAAAAAAUAUCUUAACAAUACAACCAAAUUAUAUUUACAUCAAAGAUAUGUACACACCUCCUGUUCUAAUCUGUUAAAUGUUAAUAAUUUAUUAUGACUUAAAAUAUGAAUAAUGUUGAUAUGAUUAAAAUAAAUUUGAAAAAAGUAACAAUUAAAUUAUGAUUUCGCUACUAGGUAGAUUUCAGCACUUGAAAAAUAAAUUGCAAUUAUUACAAUUUUUAGUAUAUAUUUGUAUUACGCAGGGGAACGUUCAUGAACCUUUUUACCUAAGGCAUAUCAGCCUUAACCGAGUUAUAUCUACUUAACUACCAAAAACGGUACUGAAAAAUACUGAACAAAAAAUAACUAAUAUUAUAGAUAAGAAAUUGACGUAUUAAAUUAUGAUAUUGAUUAAAUAUUUAUAGCAAUAAAUUGAAAUUAAAGGUAUAUUAAUAAAAAUUUAAAUAAGUGAGACAAAUCUAUGGUUAAUAAUAUUUAAAUAAAUGGAAUAAACUAGAAAUGAAUAAGAAAUAAACGGCUAAUACUAGCUCUAACUCUGGCUCCAGCUCCACCGCUUUCAGCAAUUUCUCGGGAAAUCAAAAGCCUGCAGCCAUCAACAAUUGAAGAAGAAUAAAGAGGAAAACGGAAAAGUAAAACCCUUGCUAAGUUUCAUUAUCUAUCCAUUAAAAUCUUGGGCAUCCUGCACCAGAAUUAUGAAAUAAACAGUUCCCUAAAGGAACAAGAUUAAGGACUAUAAAUUACAAACCAUAUUGACCACUUCCUGCGCCACUUCCUGCUACACAAACUUCGGAAAUAAAAAACUGGCCUUUUACGUGUGCUUCUACCUGCGACACGGGAACACAAGUUCUCGAAAAAUGGAUGCAGUACCGACGAUGCAGUACCGAUGAGCUGUCAAUAUCAGCCAAUCAGAGAAAACAUUAAUUAAGACCAACCAGAAGAGUGACGGACCGUCAACAGAAAGCAUGAAUAAUUAAAUCAGGAGAGUGAUGCGUUACAGUAGUAAUGUGUCAUUGACAGUGUGAAUUUAAAGAAAUAUGAAUAAAAGAAGUUGACUAAAAUUAUUAAUAUAAUUAUUGAAAUUAAUGAAAUUUCAAUGGAGCGUUACUGAAAAUAGGAGUAUAAAAAUAAAACGCUACAAUUUAUGUUUUAUAGUUUUUUUCAAUUUUCUCCGAUUCUAUGAUAGCUAGAACCGAUUCGUUUUGACAUACAGAUACCUCCGAAUAUUCCUGAGAACUUCUUUUUGAAACAAAAAGUUAUCAGACUUACAGUUAAUUUAGGAAAAAAUUAAAAUAAUUUUUUCGAAAUUUUUCGUGGCUUUCGAUUUUCGACCAAAAAAAUAAAGAUUUUUUUAUUGGGUUUUUUUACUAGAAAUUGUUAGUUUAAGGCUUACUUUAAAAUUUGCCAAUUUUAGAAAAAAAAUGGUACGGUGGGAAAAAACCAGUUUUCUUUUGUUUUUCCCACAUUUUUACUAAUAUCUCGGCUUCUAUAGCUUCGAUUCAAUUCGUUUAUGGUUUCUUUUAUUCCUUAUUCUCCUCCUGUCAUUUCUUCUGAUAUUUCAAUAUUUAUGUUUAAUAGUUUUUUCCAAUUUUCUCCGAUUCUAUAAUAGCUAGAACCGAUUCGUUUUGACAGACGGAUAUCUCUUAAAAAUCUCAAGAACUUUUAUAACAUACAAAAAGUUGUCAGAGUUAUAGUUUAUUUAUAAAAAAAUAAAAAACAUUUUUUCAAAAUUUUUUGUGGGUGUAUUAAUAAUGUGACUGUAGGUCAUGUGCCUAAUGGUUCAGGUGUAACAGUUCGUAGAUCUUAUCUUAACACACCAUGGUUCACUAAACAAUCCACCAGUAUUCGGCGAUUGACACUUAUCACUAAAAAUUCGCAGAUUCUAAAUGCACAACCGUCACAAGCCAUCGUUUUUGUUUUGAAAAGCACUCAGCAAUUAUAUAUUUCCAGAUACUUUUUUACUGUUUUGACUUUCUUUUAAGGUCAUAAUAGUCGGCUCCACUCUAUUUAUAUACCUACACAGAGAAAAUAAUCUUGAAAGUUCCAGAAGAGAUAUGGCAACCGCGCCUUUUACCGAAGUAUUUAGAAUCAUUUAACUAUGUUAUCUAAGACAUACGUAAUUACACCUUUAUAACAAGUACUUUGGUCCGUGGGGACCAGUAGAAAUUUUUGUCAGUACUACAAAAAAAAAUCUCCACAAUUAUCCCGUGAAGUGCCCUAAACACGCAGUGGGGAAGAGACCUGCCGUAUCCUCAUAAGGCUCUGAGUUCAAACCUUAGCCUCGGCAUGGUGCUCUACCGACCUUUUUCUUUUUUUAGUACUUCGAAAAAAUUAAUAUCUAUAGUAAAUAUAUAGAUGUUAAUUUACGCUCUGCUCUCAAGUAACUCGUAUAAAUAUAACCAAUAUUUAAUACCUUCUUAUUUUAUAAUAAUACGCUAGUGGCAUCUAGGGUAAAUAUGCUAAAACAGAGUCCUCAAUUAAUACACUGUUGUAUUGGCGAACGUUAUGGCGUAUUCACCAUAGUAUGCAGAUAAUCGCUGUUUCCAAAGCAAUUUCAUUUACGUUUUUAAAUUAUGCUCCAAAUUCAAAAUUUAUUUUUUUACUUUAAAGGCCAUUCAAAAUUUAGUAGAAAAGUUUAAUACGUAAAUUUUCCACGAUUUAUACGUGCCAUAAGAUAAAGGAAAAAGAGGGUCCCAUUUAUUAGGGUAUUGGGAUAAGACCACCGGGUUUUAUGUCGAUUUUUUUAAUUUUUCAAUUUUAUUUUUUAAAGCCAAUAGUAAUAAGAUAUAAAAAAAAAUUGACAGGAGGAGAAUAAGGAAUAAAAGAAACCAAAAACGAAAUGAAUCGAAACUAUAGAAUCCGAGAUAUAAGUAAAAAUGUGGGAAAAACAAAGGAAAACUGUUUUUUUUUCCCACCGUACCAUUUUUUUUUUCCUAAAAUGACUAUUGGUAAAAUUUGAAGUAUGCCCCAACCUAACAAUUUCCAGUAAAAAAACUCAAUAAAAAAAUAAUUUUUUUUUGCUUGAAAAUCGAAAGGGGUACUUACGAAAAAUUUCGAGAAAAUUAUUUUUAUUUUUUUCUAAAUUAACUGUAAGUCUGAUAACUUUUUGUUUUAAACAAAAGUUCUCAGGAAUAUUACGAGGUAUACGUAUGUCAAAACGAAUCGGUUCUAGCUAUCAUAGAAUCGGAGAAAAUUGAAAAAAAAAACUAUAAAACAUAAAUAUCGAAUUAUCAUGAGCCCUAUGGAAAAAAAUUAUUUUUUUAUUUUUCUAUCCUGUACUACUUUAGAGUACCUUUAAAAAAGAUUAUUACCGAUUUGACUCUAAAAUUAGCGGAAAGCCUAUUUCUUUGCAUUUUUCGAUUUUCGAACAAAAUCCGGGUCAAAAUGAGUGUUUGAGUCCAAUAAGCCGAAAUAAAAGAUUGGUGUAGUUUUUCAUAAUUGUAGCUUUAUUAAAGCUAUUAACCAAAUAAUAUUACUACUAACUACGUAAAAUAAAGUGGACUAUAUUAUAUUUAGAGCGAUAAACGCUCUCCCUAAUGCGUAUUGUUGACUAAAAAGAGAAGACGCGCGCAGUCAAUAAAACGAAUGGGUAGUGUCGCGGUCUUGUGUAAUUUCUCGGUAUUAAGGUGGUGGGGAAGUCACGUAGACGGCGCGAUGCAUUCGGCGUAAUCCAUCAGGACCGGCGUUAAACAAAUAUGUUUCCCAACUCUAACAAUGAGCAUUUUUUCAAAAUAUGCUCCGAAUUCAAAAUUUUUUUUUUUGCUUAAAGGCAACUUAAAAAGUAGUAAAAAAGCUUUACGACAAAUUUAUCCACGUUUCAUACGAGUAUCACAAUCUAAAGAGAAAGAUCAGGUCCCAUAAGAAGCAAUGUAUUAGGAUAGGAAAAAUUUUUAGGGAAAUUUUAGGAAAAAGAAAAUUUUAAGGGAAAAAAACGAAUAAAAAAAUUUAUAAACUUAUUGAAUUGAAGCUAUAAAAGCCGUGAUAUCAGUAAUAUAGUAAAAAAAUACAAAAAAUACACUAUAUUAAUAUAAAUUUAUUACCAAUUUAGCAACUCCCACUAAAAGAACCCUAACUAAAAUAAAACUAUUAUUAAUGUUAUUUUUUUUCAGUUAUUUAUACCUUGUCUUAACCUUUAUGCUGCUAUUACUAUUAUUAUAAAUAUUAUCUUUCUUGUAAAUGUCCUUAAACCUUAAAACACCCUGUAUAAUACGAUUACUAUAAUUAUAAAUAAUAUUUUCCUUAUUUAUGCCCUCAACCUUAAGAACUCCCCGUAUAAUUCUAUUUGUAUACUAUUAUUAUCCGCAUAAAUAUCCCGUAAUAUCAAUACCCUCUGUAUAUUUCAACUAUAUAUUUAUUAAUAUUUGUAUUCAUUUUAUUUAUCCUAGUAAUUUAUCAAAAAUCCCUUCAAAAUUGUCCCCAUAAUAUUAAUACCUCAUUAAUAAAAUAACUCUGAUGUCACGAGACGAACACGACACGUUUAUAAUUGUUGCCAGACAUCUCCCAUCUUUCUCUAAAACCGCUUUCCUACUCUAAUUUGAAACGCAAAUGGGCCCGUAAAAAAUGUAAAUAAGAUGAGACGUCAGAUGCGCGGCGAAUUUUCCCGCCGCAAUAAAAACCAUUCGAUAAAAGAUAUGCACAUAUUCGGAAAAUUUUAAGUUUCCUGAUAUCGUCACUACCAAUUUCUGAUCAUUUCCACCCAUUUUAAGCCGCUAAUUCUCGAAUUGAAAAAGUCGGAUCCGCCCGAACGUACAAUUUGCCGCCAUGACACCGAAAACCCCGCGGUUGCGUCAUCUGGCCAUGUGCGACUCGAUAGUGACGUCGUCCGUAUGCUUUUACAUUGGGUGCUGGACCGCCAAUGAGCUGGCUCCCUAUGUCUCCUGGGGUAUGACUGGUUGGACCGGCUUAUUUUUUGGGGUUUUUCUUAAAUAACAGCGCGUUGUGGAAAAACGGUAACAUUUGAAGAAAAACGGUUUUUAGUGGAUUAUAGCCAGAUAGUGUUCGGUGAUUUGAAAAAAAUGGUUUUCAUAGGUAUCAUAGGUAUAUGCCGGUAUUAAGCGUCAAAGUUAAAAAAAGGUGUAGAGCAAAAACUAAGCUACGUAGAAGGUUGUAGACUAUGUCGAAAAAUAGGAUUUAAGAAGUUCUUAAAACGCUGAAAGUUUGAAAUCUCUAGGUGCCGCCAAUAAAGAGUAAGUAAAAGUAGAAAAAACGGUCAAAAAAAGGCUCAAAAAGGGGUUUAUAUUUGUUAACACAGCUCCUCCUGUAUAAUACAUAGCGCCGGAAAAAAAUUUUUAGAAGUAGAAACAAAUUUAUUUCUCGAAAAAUUCACUAUAUUUUUUUUCGAAAAAAAAAAUUUAAGUUUGAGCUCGUUUAUCUCGGAAGAAGUUUCUUUUUGAAAAAAAUAGUUUUAACAAAAACGAAAGCUGCAUUUACGUAGAAAAGGGCUGUUUUGUUCGCAUUAUCGGGAACGUUACCGUUUAGGCCCCACAACCGUUUAAGUCCGCGAGGUACCGCGCAAAAAGUUCAAAAUUCAUUCACAGAAAAAUCCGACUUCUAAAGGCUUUAUCUUAAAAAGCGCCGUUUCAGAGCUGCUUUAUAAAAAGGCCUUUAACGUCAAUGAGUCUUAGAAAAUUCGGCUUGGUCAGUUUUCCAGAACGACUUAAUCAACAUUUUUUCGUCAAAAUCCGUUUUUUGCCACGUCACUUCGGGUGGAUGUGGCGAAAAACAUUUUUUAACCAUUAUAUACGCUCAUCCUUCGUACAUAAAACGGUAAAAAUACGAAAAAAAAAAUUCGCGAUAGAACCAAAGUUAUUAGCGUUUAUGUAACGUAGGGCCGGAAAUCGCUCGAUUUGUCACGAGCACAUAAUAAAUCAAUUAUAUUCUUAUAUUCUCCGCAAACGCAGGUAUCAUUUUCGGCUUGUGAAAGUUCAUUCAACAUUCUGUCGCUUAUUUAUUAUUAAUGGGAUAAACUAAUAAAAGGUUACUACUGGA
rnacentral:lncRNA from 1 species